rnacentral:rRNA from 1 species
AACGAACGCUGGCGGCAUGCCUAACACAUGCAAGUCGAACGAGACCUUCGGGUCUAGUGGCGCACGGGUGCGUAACGCGGGGGAACCUGCCCUUAGGUUCGGAAUAACUCCCCGAAAGGGGUGCUAAUACCGGAUAAUUUCUUCGUACCAAAGAUUUCUCGCCUUUGGAUGGGCCCGCGUUGGAUUAGCUAGUUGGUAGGGUAAAAGCCUACCAAGGCGACGAUCCAUAGCUGGUCUGAGAGGAUGAUCAGCCACACUGGGACUGAGACACGGCCCAGACUCCUACGGGAGGCAGCAGUGGGGAAUAUUGGACAAUCGGCCAAAGCGUGAUCCAGCAAUGCCGCGUGAGUGAUGAAGGCCUUAGGGUUGUAAAGCUCUUUUACCCGGGAUGAUAAUGACAGUACCGGGAGAAUAAGCUCCGGCUAACUCCGUG